CCUACGGGAGGCAGCAGUGGGGAAUUUUGGACAAUGGGCGCAAGCCUGAUCCAGCCAUGCCGCGUGUGGGAAGAAGGCCUUCGGGUUGUAAACCACUUUUGUCAGGGAAGAAACGGCUUUUUCUAAUACAGAGAGCUAAUGACGGUACCUGAAGAAUAAGCACCGGCUAACUACGUGCCAGCAGCCGCGGUAAUACGUAGGGUGCAAGCGUUAAUCGGAAUUACUGGGCGUAAAGCGUGCGCAGGCGGCUUUGCAAGACAGAUGUGAAAUCCCCGGGCUCAACCUGGGAACUGCAUUUGUGACUGCAUGGCUAGAGUACGGUAGAGGGGGAUGGAAUUCCGCGUGUAGCAGUGAAAUGCGUAGAUAUGCGGAGGAACACCGAUGGCGAAGGCAAUCCCCUGGACCUGUACUGACGCUCAUGCACGAAAGCGUGGGGAGCAAACAGGAUUAGAUACCCUGGUAGUCCACGCCCUAAACGAUGUCAACUGGUUGUUGGACGGCUUGUCUGUUNUAGUACGAAGACACGCGUGAGUAGACCGCCGNGGGAGGUACGGCCGCGAGUAGAACGUACGAAGGAAGUUAGUACGGCGUGAGACGUUGCCGACGGACGACGACGAGGGAGGAGG
rnacentral:rRNA from 1 species